AGAGUUUGAUCAUGGCUCAGGAUGAACGCUAGCUACAGGCUUAACACAUGCAAGUCGAGGGGCAGCAUGUUGGUUGCUUGCAACCAAUGAUGGCGACCGGCGCACGGGUGAGUAACGCGUAUCCAACCUACCCUUGUCCAUCGGAUAACCCGUCGAAAGGCGGCCUAACACGAUAUGCGGUUCACAGCAGGCAUCUAAGGUGAACGAAAUGUGAAGGAGAAGGAUGGGGAUGCGUCUGAUUAGCUUGUUGGCGGGUAACGCCACAAGGCUACGAUCAGUAGGGGUUCUGAGAGGAAGGUCCCCCACAUUGGAACUGAGACACGGUCCCAAACUCCGUACGGGNGGC
rnacentral:rRNA from 1 species